rnacentral:tRNA from 1 species
CCGGCUUUAGCUCAGUUGGUAGAACAGAAGACUGUAGCGUUAGGUCGCUAAUUCGAAUCUGGCAAGCCGGA